UACGUAGGGGGCGAGCGUUGUCCGGAUUUAUUGGGCGUAAAGAGCUCGUAGGCGGUUCGGUAAGUCGAAUGUGAAAUCUCCACGCUCAACGUGGAGGGGUCAUUCGAAACUGCCGUGACUUGAGUACGGUAGGGGAGUGUGGAAUUCCCGGUGUAGCGGUGAAAUGCGCAGAGAUCGGGAGGAACACCCGUAGCGAAGGCGGCACUCUGGGCCGAUACUGACGCUGAGGAGCGAAAGCGUGGGGAGCAAACAGGG
rnacentral:rRNA from 1 species